GCUCUCUGGGUGACGAGCGGCGGACGGGUGAGUAAUGUCUGGGAAACUGCCUGAUGGAGGGGGAUAACUACUGGAAACGGUAGCUAAUACCGCAUAACGUCGCAAGACCAAAGAGGGGGACCUUCGGGCCUCUUGCCAUCAGAUGUGCCCAGAUGGGAUUAGCUAGUAGGUGGGGUAAUGGCUCACCUAGGCGACGAUCCCUAGCUGGUCUGAGAGGAUGACCAGCCACACUGGAACUGAGACACGGUCCAGACUCCUACGGGAGGCAGCAGUGGGGAAUAUUGCACAAUGGGCGCAAGCCUGAUGCAGCCAUGCCGCGUGUGUGAAGAAGGCCUUCGGGUUGUAAAGCACUUUCAGCGAGGAGGAAGGUGGUGAACUUAAUACGCUCAUCAAUUGACGUUACUCGCAGAAGAAGCACCGGCUAACUCCGUGCCAGCAGCCGCGGUAAUACGGAGGGUGCAAGCGUUAAUCGGAAUUACUGGGCGUAAAGCGCACGCAGGCGGUUUGUUAAGUCAGAUGUGAAAUCCCCGGGCUCAACCUGGGAACUGCAUUUGAAACUGGCAAGCUAGAGUCUCGUAGAGGGGGGUAGAAUUUCCAUGGUGUACGCGGUGAAAUGCGUAGAGAUCUGGAGGAAUACCGGUGGCGAAGGCGGCCCCCUGGA
rnacentral:rRNA from 1 species